AGUGAACGCUGGCGGUAGGCCUAACACAUGCAAGUCGAACGGCAGCACAGUAAGAGCUUGCUCUUACGGGUGGCGAGUGGCGGACGGGUGAGGAAUACAUCGGAAUCUACUUUUUCGUGGGGGAUAACGUAGGGAAACUUACGCUAAUACCGCAUACGACCUACGGGUGAAAGCAGUGGAUCUUCGGACCUUGCGCGAUUGAAUGAGCCGAUGUGGGAUUAGCUAGUUGGCGGGGUAAAGGCCCACCAAGGCGACGAUCCGUAGCUGGUCUGAGAGGAUGAUCAGCCACACUGGAACUGAGACACGGUCCAGACUCCUACGGGAGGCAGCAGUGGGGAAUAUUGGACAAUGGGCGCAAGCCUGAUCCAGCCAUACCGCGUGGGUGAAGAAGGCCUUCGGGUUGUAAAGCCCUUUUGUUGGGAAAGAAAAGCAGCAGGUUAAUACCCCGCUGUUCUGACGGUACCCAAAGAAUAAGCACCGGCUAACUUCGUG
rnacentral:rRNA from 1 species